CCUACGGGAGGCAGCAGUGAGGAAUAUUGGUCAAUGGACGAGAGUCUGAACCAGCCAAGUAGCGUGAAGGAUGACUGCCCUAUGGGUUGUAAACUUCUUUUAUAGGGGAAUAAAAUGUAACACGUGUGGGAUUUUGUAUGUACCAUAUGAAUAAGGAUCGGCUAACUCCGUGCCAGCAGCCGCGGUAAUACGGAGGAGCCGAGCGUUAUCCGGAUUUAUUGGGGUUAAAGGGAGCGUAGGGGGAUUGUUAAGUCAGUUGUGAAAGUUUGCGGCUCAACCGUAAAAUUGCAGUUGAAACUGGCAGUCUUGAGUACAGUCGAGGUGGGCGGCAUUCGUGGUGUAGCGG
rnacentral:rRNA from 1 species